rnacentral:rRNA from 1 species
UGGUGGAGUGAUUUGUCUGGUUAAUUCUGUUAACGAACGAGACCUCGACCUGCUAAAUAGUACAAGCGUAGUUACGGCUAUGCUUGGACUUCUUAGAGGGACUGUCGGCUUCUCGCCGAAGGAAGUUCGAGGCAAUAACA